rnacentral:tRNA from 1 species
GAUGUAGCUCAUCUGGUAGAGCACUCGACGUCUAAUCGAGGUGGAGCUGGUUCGACUCCAGCCAUC